AACGAACGCUGGCGGCAUGCCUAACACAUGCAAGUCGAACGAGACCUUCGGGUCUAGUGGCGCACGGGUGCGUAACGCGUGGGAACCUGCCCUUAGGUUCGGAAUAACUCCCCGAAAGGGGUGCUAAUACCGGAUAAUGUCUUCGGACCAAAGAUUUAUCGCCUUUGGAUGGGCCCGCGUUGGAUUAGCUAGUUGGUAGGGUAAAAGCCUGCCAAGGCGACGAUCCAUAGCUGGUCUGAGAGGAUGAUCAGCCACGCUGGGACUGAGACACGGCCCAGACUCCUACGGGAGGCAGCAGUGGAGAAUAUUGGACGAUGGGCGAAAGCCUGAUCAAGCAAUGCCGCGUGAGUGAUGAAGGCCUUAGGGUUGUAAAGCUCUUUUACCCGGGAUGAUAAUGACGGUACCGGGAGAAUAAGCUCCGGCUAACUCCGUG
rnacentral:rRNA from 1 species